UAAUCUUGUGAUGUAUGUUCGAAAUCUUGUGAUGUAUAUUCGAAAUCUUGUGAUGUAUGUUCGAUAAUCUUGUGAUGUAUAUUCGAAAUCUUGUGAUGUAUGUUCGAUAAUCUUGUGAUGUAUAUUCGAAAUCUUGUGAUGUGUGUUCUACAAUUCAGUGAUGCGUGCAAUAAAAUUGCAUGACGCAACAGAAAAGUAAGGACAAUUUUCAUUGGUUAGAAAUAACGAAAGUAGCCGGAGCGGUCGUAAUGCACACAUUGACACAACUUCGCAAGCAUGAAAUUGGCGAAUUCAACCUAAAGUCAAAAUUAUAGGAACUUUACGUAGGUCUACAGUUUUAAUUUUGGACUCAUGCACUAGGAAUAUCAUAUCAGCAGAAUUGUGCCACUGAAUCAAAGGGAACUCUUUUUUUUUUAGUAGCCUCCCCUUUUAAAGAUCCAAAAUGGUGAUUUUACAGUGCGGCAUGCAGUCUGGUCAUCAACGAAGAGUUUUGACACCUGUAAUACCCAUAUUUCUACCAUUCACCUCUGUAACCUUUGUUGAGUUCAUCAGACUGGUAAGAAAAACAAUAUUGUUAAUUGAAAUAAUUUUAUCAAGAUAAAUAAAAUAAUUAAUGAAAAAAAAUUACAUGAACAGACUCCCUCAUAUAAGAAAAUGUCACAUUUUACACAUUGCAAUUAUACAUCAUUUACAUAUCCACAUUUUCCCCAUUUACACAUGCAGUUGAAUAGAUUUAGUGCUUAAUAAUACAUAGCAACAAUUAUUACAUGAAUCCUAAGACAAUUCACAAAAUACAUGAAUGCAUUAAACU